GGGGGAGAGAAGGAGCGAAGAAAUCACCUCCGCCGCCUCCCGGCUCGUGCCCUCUCCAGCCCCUCCCGUACCGCGCGAGCAGCGCCCGGACCCCCCGCGCUGCCCACCCCCCAGGGCAGGAGGAGGCGCCCCGCGAGGUGCCCCUGCCCCUCGGCACCCCGGGCCGCAGCGGGGGCUCCCGGCCGAGCCACCAAGUUUGCGCCGUCCCCGCCCCGCCGCCUUCCCCCGGCCCCGCCGCCGCCGCCGCGCUGCGCUUACGGGCUCUCCGGCGGCUCCGGUGCGGGGCUCACGGGCGCAUCGCGCUCCGGCUGCAGCGGGAGGCGAGCGGGGAGCGGAGCGGAGCGGCGGCUCGCCCCAGCCCGGCGCUUAGGGAGCGCUGCCCCGGGCCAUGCGAGCGGCUGCGGGCAGCGUCCCCGCGACGCGGCCGGAGUUGGGACCCAAGUCCUGCCCUGCGCUCCGCUGCCUCUUCCCGGCGGCUCCUAUCGGCGCGGCUUCAACUCUUUCCAUCGGAGACCGGGGGGGGAGGCGGAGGAGGAGGCGGAGGAGGAGGAGGAGGAGGUAGGGAAGGAGGAGGGAGCUAGGGGCUGGCAGCCCCAACUCGCACUGAUGUCAACUAAUGUAUUCAAAGUUCAACAGGGCAUUUCUUCGCGGGCGGAUCGCCCUCCCCGUCGCUCGCAGCCGGGCCGGGGGGUGGGGGGCGAGGGGGGCCGGCCGGAGCUCGACCUCCGGGCCCCUGCCCCUAGGGUGCUGGCGGGGGGAGCAGCGCCGGGGGCUGCCGGCGUGCGGAGGGCGGAGAGAGGCGCCGCCGAGAGCGCGGGGAGAGGCGGCGGCGGAGCGGUGGUCGUACGGAGCGCCCACCCUGCAGGAAGGGCAGGGCCAGGAUGGGAGUGGGGGGCACCGGGGCGAGCACGGAGCGCAGCCACCGCCCCGCCCCGCCCCGCCGAGCGGACCCCGAAGCGAGCCCCGGGCGCAGCGCGGCCCUCUGCCGGCGUCUCCGUGCCCCCCGCUCAGUGGAAGGGCGAG
rnacentral:lncRNA from 1 species